CCUACGGGGGGCAGCAGUGGGGAAUAUUGGACAAUGGGGGGAACCCUGAUCCAGCCAUGCCGCGUGUGUGAAGAAGGCCCUCGGGUUGGAAAGCACUUUCAGUGAGGAAGAACGCCUGGUGGUUAAUACCCAUCAGGAAAGACAUCACUCACAGAAGAAGCACCGGCUAACUCCGUGCCAGCAGCCGCGGUAAUACGGAGGGUGCGAGCGUUAAUCGGAAUUACUGGGCGUAAAGCGCGCGUAGGUGGCUUGAUAAGCCGGUUGUGAAAGCCCCGGGCUCAACCUGGGAACGGCAUCCGGAACUGUCAAGCUAGAGUGCAGGAGAGGAAGGUAGAAUUCCCGGUGUAGCGGUGAAAUGCGUAGAGAUCGGGAGGAAUACCAGUGGCGAAGGCGGCCUUCUGGACUGACACUGACACUGAGGUGCGAAAGCGUGGGUAGCAAACAGGAUUAGAUACCCGUGUAGUC
rnacentral:rRNA from 1 species